rnacentral:rRNA from 1 species
AUUGAACGCUGGCGGCAUGCUUUACACAUGCAAGUCGAACGGUAACAGGCCUUCGGGUGCUGACGAGUGGCGAACGGGUGAGUAAUGCAUCGGAACGUACCCAGAGGUGGGGGAUAACGCAGCGAAAGCUGUGCUAAUACCGCAUGUGAUCUGAGGAUGAAAGCGGGGGACCGAGCAGCAAUGUUUGGCCUCGCGCCUUUGGAGCGGCCGAUGUCGGAUUAGCUAGUUGGUGGGGUAAAGGCCUACCAAGGCGACGAUCCGUAGCUGGUCUGAGAGGACGACCAGCCACACUGGGACUGAGACACGGCCCAGACUCCUACGGGAGGCAGCAGUGGGGAAUUUUGGACAAUGGGCGCAAGCCUGAUCCAGCAAUGCCGCGUGCGGGAAGAAGGCCUCCGGGUUGUAAACCGCUUUUGGCAGGAACGAAACGGUGUCCGCUAAUACCGGGCGCUAAUGACGGUACCUGCAGAAUAAGCACCGGCUAACUACGUG